AACGAACGCUGGCGGCAUGCCUAACACAUGCAAGUCGAACGAGAUCUUCGGGUCUAGAGGCGCACGGGUGCGUAACGCGUGGGAAUCUGCCCUUUGGUUCGGAAUAACAGUUGGAAACGACUGCUAAUACCGGAUGAUGACGAAAGUCCAAAGAUUUAUCGCCAGAGGAUGAGCCCGCGUAGGAUUAGCUAGUUGGUGUGGUAAAGGCGCACCAAGGCGACGAUCCUUAGCUGGUCUGAGAGGAUGAUCAGCCACACUGGGACUGAGACACGGCCCAGGCUCCUACGGGAGGCAGCAGUGGGGAAUAUUGGACAAUGGGCGAAAGCCUGAUCCAGCAAUGCCGCGUGAGUGAUGAAGGCCUUAGGGUUGUAAAGCUCUUUUACCCGGGAUGAUAAUGACAGUACCGGGAGAAUAAGCUCCGGCUAACUCCGUGCCAGCAGCCGCAGUAA
rnacentral:rRNA from 1 species